rnacentral:rRNA from 1 species
UGCAGUCGAACGGCAGCACGGGGGCAACCCUGGUGGCGAGUGGCGAACGGGUGAGUAACAUAUCGGAACGUGCCCUGGAGUGGGGGAUAACUAGUCGAAAGAUUAGCUAAUACCGCAUACGAUCUACGGAUGAAAGUGGGGGAUCGCAAGACCUCAUGCUCGUGGAGCGGCCGAUAUCUGAUUAGCUAGUUGGUGGGGUAAAGGCCUACCAAGGCAUCGAUCAGUAGCUGGUCUGAGAGGACGACCAGCCACACUGGGACUGAGACACGGCCCAGACUCCUACGGGAGGCAGCAGUGGGGAAUUUUGGACAAUGGGCGCAAGCCUGAUCCAGCAAUGCCGCGUGAGUGAAGAAGGCCUUCGGGUUGUAAAGCUCUUUUGUCAGGGAAGAAACGGUUCGGGUUAAUACCUUGGGCUAAUGACGGUACCUGAAGAAUAAGCACCGGCUAACUACGUGCCAGCAGCCGCGGUAAUACGUAGGGUGCAAGCGUUAAUCGGAAUUACUGGGCGUAAAGCGUGCGCAGGCGGUUGUGCAAGACAGAUGUGAAAUCCCCGGGCUCAACCUGGGAAUUGCAUUUGUGACUGUACGGCUAGAGUGUGUCAGAGGGGGGUAGAAUUCCACGUGUAGCAGUGAAAUGCGUAGAGAUGUGGAGGAAUACCGAUGGCGAAGGCAGCCCCCUGGGAUAACACUGACGCUCAUGCACGAAAGCGUGGGGGAGCAAACAGGAUUAGAUACCCUGGUAGUCCACGCCCUAAACGAUGUCUACUAGUUGUCGGGUCUUUAUUGACUUGGUAACGCAGCUUAACGCGUGAAGUAG